rnacentral:rRNA from 1 species
UACAGAGGUCUCAAGCGUUGUUCGGAAUUACUGGGCGUAAAGGGCUCGUAGGCGGCCAACUAAGUCAGACGUGAAAUCCCUCGGCUUAACCGGGGAACUGCGUCUGAUACUGGAUGGCUUGAAUCCGGGAGAGGGAUGCGGAAUUCCAGGUGUAGCGGUGAAAUGCGUAGAUAUCUGGAGGAACACCGGUGGCGAAGGCGGCAUCCUGGACCGGCAUUGACGCUGAGGAGCGAAAGCUAGGGGAGCAAACGGG